GUGAAGAACGCAGCGAAAUGCGAUAAGUAGUGUGAAUUGCAGAAUUCAGUGAAUCAUCGAAUCUUUGAACGCACAUUGCGCCCCUUGGUAUUCCAUGGGGCAUGCCUGUUCGAGCGUCAUUUGUACCUUCAAGCUUUGCUUGGUGUUGGGUGUUUGUCCCGAGGGACUCGCCUUAAAGUAAUUGGCAGCCAGUGUUUGGUUUUGAAGCGCAGCACAAGUCGCGAUUCAAGGCUACACGCCCGCUUCCACAAGCCUUUUUUCACUUUUGACCUCGGAUCAGGUAGGGAUACCCGCUGAACUUAAGCAUAUCAAUAAGCGGAGGA
rnacentral:misc_RNA from 1 species